rnacentral:rRNA from 1 species
GACGAACGCUGGCGGCGUGCUUAACACAUGCAAGUCGAACGGAAAGGCCCUGCUUUUGUGGGGUGCUCGAGUGGCGAACGGGUGAGUAACACGUGAGUAACCUGCCCUUGACUUUGGGAUAACUUCAGGAAACUGGGGCUAAUCCCGGAUAGGAGCUCCUGCUGCAUGGUGGGGGUUGGAAAGUUUCGGCGGUUGGGGAUGGACUCGCGGCUUAUCAGCUUGUUGGUGGGGUAGUGGCUUACCAAGGCUUUGACGGGUCGCCGGCCUGAGAGGGUGACCGGCCACAUUGGGACUGAGAUACGGCGCAGACGCCUACGGUGGGCAGCAGGGGGGAAUAUUGCACAAUGGGCGGAAGCCGGAUGCAGAAACGCCGCGUGCGGGAUGCCGGCCUUCGGGUUGUAAACCGCUGUCGCCUGUGACGAAGCGGGAGUGACGGUAAUGGGUAAAGAAGCACCGGCUAACUACAUG